GACGAACGCUGGCGGCGUGCUUAACACAUGCAAGUCGAACGGAAAGGCCCUGCUUUUGUGGGGUGCUCGAGUGGCGAACGGGUGAGUAACACGUGAGUAACCUGCCCUUGACUUUGGGAUAACUUCAGGAAACUGGGGCUAAUACCGGAUAGGAGCUCCUGCUGCAUGGUGGGGGUUGGAAAGUUUCGGCGGUUGGGGAUGGACUCGCGGCUUAUCAGCUUGUUGGUGGGGUAGUGGCUUACCAAGGCUUUGACGGGUAGCCGGCCUGAGAGGGUGACCGGCCACAUUGGGACUGAGAUACGGCCCAGACUCCUACGGGAGGCAGCAGUGGGGAAUAUUGCACAAUGGGCGGAAGCCUGAUGCAGCAACGCCGCGUGCGGGAUGACGGCCUUCGGGUUGUAAACCGCUUUCGCCUGUGACGAAGCGUGAGUGACGGUAAUGGGUAAAGAAGCACCGGCUAACUACGUGCCAGCAGCCGCGGUGAUACGUAGGGUGCGAGCGUUGUCCGGAUUUAUUGGGCGUAAAGGGCUCGUAGGUGGUUGAUCGCGUCGGAAGUGUAAUCUUGGGGCUUAACCCUGAGCGUGCUUUCGAUACGGGUUGACUUGAGGAAGGUAGGGGAGAAUGGAAUUCCUGGUGGAGCGGUGGAAUGCGCAGAUAUCAGGAGGAACACCAGUGGCGAAGGCGGUUCUCUGGGCCUUUCCUGACGCUGAGGAGCGAAAGCGUGGGGAGCGAACAGGCUUAGAUACCCUGGUAGUCCACGCUGUAAACGGUGGGUACUAGGUGUGGGGUCCAUUCCACGGGUUCCGUGCCGUAGCUAACGCUUUAAGUACCCCGCCUGGGGAGUACGGCCGCAAGGCUAAAACUCAAAGGAAUUGACGGGGCCCCGCACAAGCGGCGGAGCAUGCGGAUUAAUUCGAUGCAACGCGUAGAACCUUACCUGGGUUUGACAUGGAUCGGGAGCGCUCAGAGAUGGGUGUGCCUCUUUUGGGGUCGGUUCACAGGUGGUGCAUGGCUGUCGUCAGCUCGUGUCGUGAGAUGUUGGGUUAAGUCCCGCAACGAGCGCAACCCUUGUUCACUGUUGCCAGCACGUUAUGGUGGGGACUCAGUGGAGACCGCCGGGGUCAACUCGGAGGAAGGUGGGGAUGACGUCAAGUCACCAUGCCCCUUAUGUCCAGGGCUUCACGCAUGCUACAAUGGCUGGUACAGAGAGUGGCGAGCCUGUGAGGGUGAGCGAAUCUCGGAAAGCCGGUCUCAGUUCGGAUUGGGGUCUGCAACUCGACCUCAUGAAGUCGGAGUCGCUAGUAAUCGCAGAUCAGCAACGCUGCGGUGAAUACGUUCCCGGG
rnacentral:rRNA from 1 species